rnacentral:rRNA from 1 species
GACGAACGCUGGCGGCGUGCUUAACACAUGCCAGUCGAACGGAAAGGCCCUGCUUGCAGGGUAUUCGAGUGGCGAACGGGUGAGUAACACGUGGGUGAUCUGCCCUGCACUUCGGGAUAAGCCUGGGAAACUGGGUCUAAUACCGGAUAGGAGCCAUUUUUAGUGUGAUGGUUGGAAAGUUUUUUCGGUGUAGGAUGAGCUCGCGGCCUAUCAGCUUGUUGGUGGGGUAAUGGCCUACCAAGGCGGCGACGGGUAGCCGGCCUGAGAGGGUGGACGGCCACAUUGGGACUGAGAUACGGCCCAGACUCCUACGGGAGGCAGCAGUGGGGAAGAUUGCACAAUGGGCGCAAGCCUGAUGCAGCGACGCCGCGUGGGGGAUGACGGCCUUCGGGUUGUAAACUCCUUUCGCUAGGGACGAAGCUUUUUGUGACGGUACCUAGAUAAGAAGCACCGGCUAACUACGUG